UUUCUGGCCCCCCCUCCGCGCAAAUACGUAGGUGGCCAACUUUGUCGCCCUUAGAGUUUGAUCCUGGCUCAGGAUGAACGCUGGCGGCGUGCCUAAUACAUGCAAGUCGAACGAACUUCCGUUAAUUGAUCAGGAGGUGCUUGCACUGAAUGAGAUUUUAACACGAAGUGAGUGGCGGACGGGUGAGUAACACGUGGGUAACCUGCCCAGAAGCAGGGGAUAACACCUGGAAACAGAUGCUAAUACCGUAUAACAGAGAAAACCGCCUGGUUUUCUUUUAAAAGAUGGCUCUGCUAUCACUUCUGGAUGGACCCGCGGCGCAUUAGCUAGUUGGUGAGGUAACGGCUCACCAAGGCGAUGAUGCGUAGCCGACCUGAGAGGGUAAUCGGCCACAUUGGGACUGAGACACGGCCCAGACUCCUACGGGAGGCAGCAGUAGGGAAUCUUCCACAAUGGACGCAAGUCUGAUGGAGCAACGCCGCGUGAGUGAAGAAGGGUUUCGGCUCGUAAAGCUCUGUUGUUAAAGAAGAACGUGGGUGAGAGUAACUGUUCACCCAGUGACGGUAUUUAACCAGAAAGCCACGGCUAACUACGUGCCAGCAGCCGCGGUAAUACGUAGGUGGCAAGCGUUAUCCGGAUUUAUUGGGCGUAAAGCGAGCGCAGGCGGUCUUUUAAGUCUAAUGUGAAAGCCUUCGGCUCAACCGAAGAAGUGCAUUGGAAACUGGGAGACUUGAGUGCAGAAGAGGACAGUGGAACUCCAUGUGUAGCGGUGAAAUGCGUAGAUAUAUGGAAGAACACCAGUGGCGAAGGCGGCUGUCUGGUCUGUAACUGACGCUGAGGCUCGAAAGCAUGGGUAGCGAACAGGAUUAGAUACCCUGGUAGUCCAUGCCGUAAACGAUGAUUACUAAGUGUUGGAGGGUUUCCGCCCUUCAGUGCUGCAGCUAACGCAUU
rnacentral:rRNA from 1 species